AAUUGUUAAGUUUGGAACUGCGAAUGGCUCAUUAUAUCAGUUAUAGUUUAUUUGGUGAAGUGUACUACUUGGAUAACCGUAGUAAUUCUAGGGCUAAUACAUGAGAAAGUCCUCUGGUGAGGUGUGUUUAUUAGAAUGAAAACCAUAUGCUUCGGCAUGAUAGUGAGUAAUAGUAACCUAUCGUAUCGCAUGCUUAAUGUAGCGAUGAGUCUUUCAAGUUUCUGCCCUAUCAGCUUUCGAUGGUAGUAUAUGGGCCUACCAUG
rnacentral:rRNA from 1 species